rnacentral:rRNA from 1 species
GAGGAAUGUAUAGCAAUAGCUACUUGCAUCAUUGUAAAUAUGAUGCAGGAUCGACUAUGUCGAAUAAAAUUCUAGGUAGAAUUAUGAUAAUGACAUUGUCUGCCUAUGUGUCUUGACCAAAUUACGUGCCAGCAGUCGCGGUAAUACGUAGAAGACUAGUGUUAUUCAUGUUUAAUCGGUUUAAAGGGUACCUAGACGGUAAAUCAAGCCUAAAAGGAAAUAAAUGAAGGGACUAAUUUACUAGAGUUACUUAUGAGGGGGUAUUAAAGUACUGCUGGUGUAGAGAUGAAAUUCUGUCAUACCUCUUUUCAAUAGAAAAAUAAUGGCACAGGUAUAGGCGAAAGCAUCCCCUUAUGUGAUAACUGACGUUGAGGGACGAAGGCUUUGUGUAGCGAACAGGAUUAGAUACCCCAGUAGUCAAAGCAGAAAAUGAUGAAUGUCAUAGAUUAGAUAUAUAAGUUUAUUCUAUAAAUGAAAGUGUAAGCAUUCCACCUCAAGAGUAAUUUGGCAACAUUGGAACUGAAAUCAUUAGACCGUUUCUGAAACCAG